AGUUUGAUCCUGGCUCAGGACGAACGCUGGCGGCGUGCUUAACACAUGCAAGUCGAGCGGAAAGGCCACUUCGGUGGUACUCGAGCGGCGAACGGGUGAGUAACACGUGAGUAAUCUGCCUCUGGCUUCGGGAUAGCCACCGGAAACGGUGAUUAAUACCGGAUACGACACGCUCUUGCAUGAGAUGUGUGUGGAAAGUUUUUCGGCCAGGGAUGUGCUCGCGGCCUAUCAGCUUGUUGGUGNGGUAAUGGCCUACCAAGGCUUCGACGGGUAGCCGGCCUGAGAGGGUGACCGGCCACACUGGGACUGAGACACGGCCCAGACUCCUACGGGAGGCAGCAGUGGGGAAUAUUGGACAAUGGGCGGAAGCCUGAUCCAGCAACGCCGCGUGAGGGAUGACGGCCUUCGGGUUGUAAACCUCUUUCAGCACAGACGAAGCGCAAGUGACGGUAUGUGCAGAAGAAGGACCGGCCAACUACGUGCCAGCAGCCGCGGUAAUACGUAGGGUCCGAGCGUUGUCCGGAAUUAUUGGGCGUAAAGGGCUCGUAGGCGGUUUGUCGCGUCGGGAGUGAAAACACCGGGCUUAACUCGGUGCUUGCUUUCGAUACGGGCAGACUAGAGGCAUUCAGGGGAGAACGGAAUUCCUGGUGUAGCGGUGAAAUGCGCAGAUAUCAGGAGGAACACCGGUGGCGAAGGCGG
rnacentral:rRNA from 1 species